UAGGAACCAACAGGGAUUGCCCUAGUAACGGCGAGUGAAGCGGCAACAGCUCAAAUUUGAAAUCUGGCUUCGGCCCGAGUUGUAAUUUGCAGAGGAUGUUUCUGGCGCGGUGCCUUCCGAGUUCCCUGGAACGGGACGCCAUAGAGGGUGAGAGCCCCGUAUGGUUGGAUACCAAGCCUGUGUGAAACUCCUUCGACGAGUCGAGUAGUUUGGGAAUGCUGCUCAAAAUGGGAGGUAAAUCUCUUCUAAAGCUAAAUAUUGGCCAGAGACCGAUAGCGCACAAGUAGAGUGAUCGAAAGAUGAAAAGCACCUUGAAAAGGGGGUUAAACAGUACGUGAAAUUGUUGAAAGGGAAGCGCUCAUGACCAGACUUGUGCUGGGCAGCUCAUCCGGGGUUCUCCCCGGUGCAUUCUGCCCAGUUCAGGCCAGCAUCGAUUUUUGCUGGGGGAUAAGAACGGUAGGAACGUGGCCCUCCUUCGGGAGGGUGUUAUAGCCUACCGUACGAUACCCUAGCGGAGAUCGAGGUUCGCGCAUCUGCAAGGAUGCUGGCGUAAUGGUCAUCAGCGACCCGUCUUGAAACACGGACCAAGGAGUCGUCCAUUAGAGCGAGCGUUUGGGUGUAAAACCCGCACGCGUAAUGAAAGUGAAAUUAGGUGAGAGCUUCGGCGCAUCAUCGACCGAUCCUGAUGUUCUCGGAUGGAUUUGAGUAAGAGUUUUAACGGACGGACCCGAAAGACAGUGAACUAUGCUUGUAUAGGGUGAAGCCAGAGGAAACUCUGGUGGAGGCUCGCAGCGGUUCUGACGUGCAAAUCGAUCGUCAAAUAUGAGCAUGGGGGCGAAAGACUAAUCGAACUGUCUAGUAGCUGGUUACCGCCGAAGUUUCCCUCAGGAUAGCAGUGUUGACCUUCAGUUUUAUGAGGUAAAGCGAAUGAUUAGGGACUCGGGGGCGCUUUUUAGCCUUCAUCCAUUCUCAAACUUUAAAUAUGUAAGAAGCCCUUGUUACUUAGUUGAACGUGGGCAUUCGAAUGUAUCAACACUAGUGGGCCAUUUUUGGUAAGCAGAACUGGCGAUGCGGGAUGAACCCAACGCCGGGGUUAAGGG
rnacentral:rRNA from 1 species